rnacentral:rRNA from 1 species
ACGAACGCUGGCGGCGUGCUUAACACAUGCAAGUCGAACGGAAAGGCCCUGCUUUUGUGGGGUGCUCGAGUGGCGAACGGGUGAGUAACACGUGAGUAACCUGCCCUUGACUUUGGGAUAACUUCAGGAAACUGGGGCUAAUACCGGAUAGGAGCUCCUGCUGCAUGGUGGGGGUUGGAAAGUUUCGGCGGUUGGGGAUGGACUCGCGGCUUAUCAGCUUGUUGGUGGGGUAGUGGCUUACCAAGGCUUUGACGGGUAGCCGGCCUGAGAGGGUGACCGGCCACAUGGGGACUGAGAUACGGCCCAGACUCCUACGGGAGGCAGCAGGGGGGAAUAUUGCACAAUGGGCGGAAGCCUGAGGCAGCAACGCCGCGUGCGGGAUGACGGCCUUCGGGUUGUAAACCGCUUUCGCCUGUGACGAAGCGUGAGUGACGGUAAUGGGUAAAGAAGCACCGGCUAACUACGU